rnacentral:rRNA from 1 species
GUUAACUUCGGUACAUCGGUGACAGGUGGUGCAUGGUGUCGUCAGCUCGUGUCGUGAGAUGUUGGGUUAAGUCCCGCAACGAGCGCAACCCCUAUUGUUAGUUGCCAUCAUUCAGUUGGGCACUCUAGCGAGACUGCCGGUAAUAAACCGGAGGAAGGUGGGGAUGACGUCAAAUCAUCAUGCCCCUUAUGACCUGGGCUACACACGUGCCACAAUGGUUGGUACAACGAGUUGCGAGUCGGUGACGGCGAGCUAAUCUCUUAAAGCCAAUCUCAGUUCGGAUUGUAGGCUGCAACUCGCCUACAUGAAGUCGGAAUCGCUAGUAAUCGCGGAUCAGCACGCCGCGGUGAAUACGUUCCCGGGCCUU